CUGCUGCCUUCCGUAGGGGUUUGGGCCGUGUCUCAGUCCCAAUGUGGCCGUUCACCCUCUCAGGCCGGCUACUGAUCGUCGCCUUGGUGGGCUGUUACCCCGCCAACAAGCUAAUCAGACGCGGAUCCAUCGUAUACCACCGGAGUUUUUCACACCGUCUCAUGCGAGACUGUGCGCUUAUGCGGUAUUAGCACCUAUUUCUAAGUGUUAUCCCCCAGUAUACGGCAGGUUAUCCACGCGUUACUCACCCGUCCGCCA
rnacentral:rRNA from 1 species